GGUUAAGCGACUAAGCGUACACGGUGGAUGCCCUGGCAGUCAGAGGCGAUGAAGGACGUGCUAAUCUGCGAUAAGCGUCGGUAAGGUGAUAUGAACCGUUAUAACCGGCGAUUUCCGAAUGGGGAAACCCAGUGUGUUUCGACACACUAUCAUUAACUGAAUCCAUAGGUUAAUGAGGCGAACCGGGGGAACUGAAACAUCUAAGUACCCCGAGGAAAAGAAAUCAACCGAGAUUCCCCCAGUAGCGGCGAGCGAACGGGGAGCAGCCCAGAGCCUGAAUCAGUGUGUGUGUUAGUGGAAGCGUCUGGAAAGGCGCGCGAUACAGGGUGACAGCCCCGUACACAAAAAUGCACAUACUGUGAGCUCGAUGAGUAGGGCGGGACACGUGGUAUCCUGUCUGAAUAUGGGGGGACCAUCCUCCAAGGCUAAAUACUCCUGACUGACCGAUAGUGAACCAGUACCGUGAGGGAAAGGCGAAAAGAACCCCGGCGAGGGGAGUGAAAAAGAACCUGAAACCGUGUACGUACAAGCAGUGGGAGCACGCUUCGGCGUGUGACUGCGUACCUUUUGUAUAAUGGGUCAGCGACUUAUAUUCUGUAGCAAGGUUAACCGAAUAGGGGAGCCGAAGGGAAACCGAGUCUUAACUGGGCGUUAAGUUGCAGGGUAUAGACCCGAAACCCGGUGAUCUAGCCAUGGGCAGGUUGAAGGUUGGGUAACACUAACUGGAGGACCGAACCGACUAAUGUUGAAAAAUUAGCGGAUGACUUGUGGCUGGGGGUGAAAGGCCAAUCAAACCGGGAGAUAGCUGGUUCUCCCCGAAAGCUAUUUAGGUAGCGCCUCGUGAAUUCAUCUCCGGGGGUAGAGCACUGUUUCGGCAAGGGGGUCAUCCCGACUUACCAACCCGAUGCAAACUGCGAAUACCGGAGAAUGUUAUCACGGGAGACACACGGCGGGUGCUAACGUCCGUCGUGAAGAGGGAAACAACCCAGACCGCCAGCUAAGGUCCCAAAGUCAUGGUUAAGUGGGAAACGAUGUGGGAAGGCCCAGACAGCCAGGAUGUUGGCUUAGAAGCAGCCAUCAUUUAAAGAAAGCGUAAUAGCUCACUGGUCGAGUCGGCCUGCGCGGAAGAUGUAACGGGGCUAAACCAUGCACCGAAGCUGCGGCAGCGACACUAUGUGUUGUUGGGUAGGGGAGCGUUCUGUAAGCCUGUGAAGGUGUGCUGUGAGGCAUGCUGGAGGUAUCAGAAGUGCGAAUGCUGACAUAAGUAACGAUAAAGCGGGUGAAAAGCCCGCUCGCCGGAAGACCAAGGGUUCCUGUCCAACGUUAAUCGGGGCAGGGUGAGUCGACCCCUAAGGCGAGGCCGAAAGGCGUAGUCGAUGGGAAACAGGUUAAUAUUCCUGUACUUGGUGUUACUGCGAAGGGGGGACGGAGAAGGCUAUGUUGGCCGGGCGACGGUUGUCCCGGUUUAAGCGUGUAGGCUGGUUUUCCAGGCAAAUCCGGAAAAUCAAGGCUGAGGCGUGAUGACGAGGCACUACGGUGCUGAAGCAACAAAUGCCCUGCUUCCAGGAAAAGCCUCUAAGCAUCAGGUAACAUUAAAUCGUACCCCAAACCGACACAGGUGGUCAGGUAGAGAAUACCAAGGCGCUUGAGAGAACUCGGGUGAAGGAACUAGGCAAAAUGGUGCCGUAACUUCGGGAGAAGGCACGCUGAUAUGUAGGUGAAGUCCCUCGCGGAUGGAGCUGAAAUCAGUCGAAGAUACCAGCUGGCUGCAACUGUUUAUUAAAAACACAGCACUGUGCAAACACGAAAGUGGACGUAUACGGUGUGACGCCUGCCCGGUGCCGGAAGGUUAAUUGAUGGGGUUAGCGGUAACGCGAAGCUCUUGAUCGAAGCCCCGGUAAACGGCGGCCGUAACUAUAACGGUCCUAAGGUAGCGAAAUUCCUUGUCGGGUAAGUUCCGACCUGCACGAAUGGCGUAAUGAUGGCCAGGCUGUCUCCACCCGAGACUCAGUGAAAUUGAACUCGCUGUGAAGAUGCAGUGUACCCGCGGCAAGACGGAAAGACCCCGUGAACCUUUACUAUAGCUUGACACUGAACAUUGAGCCUUGAUGUGUAGGAUAGGUGGGAGGCUUUGAAGUGUGGACGCCAGUCUGCAUGGAGCCGACCUUGAAAUACCACCCUUUAAUGUUUGAUGUUCUAACGUUGACCCGUAAUCCGGGUUGCGGACAGUGUCUGGUGGGUAGUUUGACUGGGGCGGUCUCCUCCUAAAGAGUAACGGAGGAGCACGAAGGUUGGCUAAUCCUGGUCGGACAUCAGGAGGUUAGUGCAAUGGCAUAAGCCAGCUUGACUGCGAGCGUGACGGCGCGAGCAGGUGCGAAAGCAGGUCAUAGUGAUCCGGUGGUUCUGAAUGGAAGGGCCAUCGCUCAACGGAUAAAAGGUACUCCGGGGAUAACAGGCUGAUACCGCCCAAGAGUUCAUAUCGACGGCGGUGUUUGGCACCUCGAUGUCGGCUCAUCACAUCCUGGGGCUGAAGUAGGUCCCAAGGGUAUGGCUGUUCGCCAUUUAAAGUGGUACGCGAGCUGGGUUUAGAACGUCGUGAGACAGUUCGGUCCCUAUCUGCCGUGGGCGCUGGAGAACUGAGGGGGGCUGCUCCUAGUACGAGAGGACCGGAGUGGACGCAUCACUGGUGUUCGGGUUGUCAUGCCAAUGGCACUGCCCGGUAGCUAAAUGCGGAAGAGAUAAGUGCUGAAAGCAUCUAAGCACGAAACUUGCCCCGAGAUGAGUUCUCCCUGACUCCUUGAGAGUCCUGAAGGAACGUUGAAGACGACGACGUUGAUAGGCCGGGUGUGUAAGCGCAGCGAUGCGUUGAGCUAACCGGUACUAAUGAACCGUGAGGCUUAACCUUACAACGCCGAAGGUGUUUUG
rnacentral:rRNA from 2 species